rnacentral:rRNA from 1 species
UACGUAGGUGGCAAGCGUUGUCCGGAAUUAUUGGGCGUAAAGCGCGCGCAGGCGGCUUCUUAAGUCUGAUGUGAAAUCUCGGGGCUCAACCCCGAGCGGCCAUUGGAAACUGGGAAGCUUGAGUACAGAAGAGGAGAGUGGAAUUCCACGUGUAGCGGUGAAAUGCGUAGAUAUGUGGAGGAACACCAGUGGCGAAGGCGACACUCUGGGCCGAUACUGACGCUGAGGAGCGAAAGCGUGGGGAGCGAACAGG